UGUUUGAUGUUCUAACGUGGACCCGUGAUCCGGGUUGCGGACAGUGUCUGGUGGGUAGUUUGACUGGGGCGGUCUCCUCCUAAAGAGUAACGGAGGAGCACGAAGGUUGGCUAAUCCUGGUCGGACAUCAGGAGGUUAGUGCAAUGGCAUAAGCCAGCUUGACUGCGAGCGUGACGGCGCGAGCAGGUGCGAAAGCAGGUCAUAGUGAUCCGGUGGUUCUGAAUGGAAGGGCCAUCGCUCAACGGAUAAAAGGUACUCCGGGGAUAACAGGCUGAUACCGCCCAAGAGUUCAUAUCGACGGCGGUGUUUGGCACCUCGAUGUCGGCUCAUCACAUCCUGGGGCUGAAGUAGGUCCCAAGGGUAUGGCUGUUCGCCAUUUAAAGUGGUACGCGAGCUGGGUUUAGAACGUCGUGAGACAGUUCGGUCCCUAUCUGCCGUGGGCGCUGGAGAACUGAGGGGGGCUGCUCCUAGUACGAGAGGACCGGAGUGGACGCAUCACUGGUGUUCGGGUUGUCAUGCCAAUGGCACUGCCCGGUAGCUAAAUGCGGAAGAGAUAAGUGCUGAAAGCAUCUAAGCACGAAACUUGCCCCGAGAUGAGUUCUCCCUGAGACUUAGAGUCUCCUGAAGGAACGUUGAAGACGACGACGUUGAUAGGCC
rnacentral:rRNA from 1 species